GCACCGCGGCGCACCUUUACUCUCUCAAACUACUUAUUUUUUUUAUUAUUAUUUUUUUUUGGUAAUUUUAUUACAGUAUUAAAGUAUUGCUUAGCUUACAGAAUCUCCUCACGUAGUGUUCACACACAGAAAUGGGUUCGACUUCGAUUCUGUACGUAUGAAACUCUACAGUGUACGUGCAGACCCCGGGCCCGCGGUGUGUCUUCGAUGCAUCCCGUCUUACACUGAUCGACCCUCAGUUUUCUGUCGGAACUAUUUUGCUUAAAAAACAAACCAAAACAAACACUAAAAAAAAAACAACAAACAGAAUUCAAAAAAUUCCACCCGAGAGACAUUUCCAUAGCGUAAAAGACAGCUACGAGUUAGUGUUCUGUUUGUUUUUGUAAACAGUUUCGUAUGCAAUAUCAUACGUAACCAUGGCUGGCCUUCAGAGAAAUGGAGGAAACGCUAUUGCUUUAUUCGGGGUUAGGCUGCGCUGAGCGGCAGAGCGGAACGCGGCGGUGGUGCAGCACGAGCCCUCAUUCGCACCCACGAUGGAAACAGCGUCGGAGGAUUCGGAGCAGGGAGGGGGAAAAGAAACGCGAACACCUUUCAGGUCAUACCAACAGCUACCCAAUGGUUGACUACUCUAGCGAGAUGUGUGACAUUCACCAGCUGAAUGAAUGCUGCUGUACAAUGGGAAAAGAAAAUACAGCAAGAGAGCCAUGCUACCUUAAAGUCCAAGCUACAAAUUCAACUUAGAAUGAACACCGAUGAGUGUAAGAAACGAAAAAAGGGACAGAUCAGGCUUCGCUGUAAGUGAGCCCAUCGCAAACGACUUCUUCUGUUUUAGUGGGGAGAGGAACUGAACUGCUGGGGUUCUGCAGCUCCUGCUGCGCUCAGCCCCGGCCCACGGCUGCUCUGUGGGAGCUGGGAGCAGGCGGCCGCCAGGCGCUGCGCUGCACUGGAAGCGAGGCGUGCUGAGCCGCUGUGCCAGCAAGGGCACAGAACCCCCGGGUGAGGGAACGAGGGAACAAAGCCCCUUGGGAAUGGACUCCGAGGUGAGCGGGGACUAACGGAGCCUCAGCAUGGGGAGCCACAUCGAGACGUACCGGGUUCCAAGACAUUUGUGCUAUGGGCCACUGGGACUUCUCAAAAGAAUUCACGAUUUCAAAAAACCUUAUAUCACCUCUUUCAACAAAAAAAAAGCACUUAUAGAAAAAGGACGCCCAAAAGUCUGUCGUCCCUGCCUUAUUGCCGAAAAUAGAACCGGGUGAACGAAGACGGCACAAACAAAAGGAGGGGGGACGACCCGCGUGCUCCGCAGCCCCACGUCCUGCAAUGACAGCAACUACAGAGACCGGGGGACACGGGGUGGGGGAGGGAAACAAAAGAAAACCUUAAUAUAAACAGCUAGGCUAUGGUUAGGCUCCUACGAGAUACACAAAGAAUUAGGUCUACGUGGCUACGAGACUAUGUCAAAACGCUACCAAAAAAUGUGGGUCGAGUAGGUUUAAAAAGGGGGGGAAACCCUUUGAGAAAAUAAAACGAACAAGAAAUGGAUUUUAUAUACAUACUUUUAAAAGCUGUUGUUUUUAUAGUACAGCAGAUUCAUGAGAUGAUGAGAGAGAUUUUUUUAAACAGCCCAAGUCCGUCGAGUGCCACCUCCAGUUCGUUUGCUGUUGGUGAAGAUGUAGUGCUGAAGUCUGACGAUGUCACCUCACCGUGGGACCGCUCAGAAACUUCGCCCCGUUUUGCCCGGACAUCCAGAGAGACUCUGCGAGGAGAGGAGCACACAGGACAGGGGAAGGGUCAGCUGGGGCUGUGCAAGUAGACCGCGCUUCAGGGACGUGAGGUGGCCAGCUUUUCCCCAAGGGGACAACGUCCUCCUGGGCGCUCUGCCGCACUCCGGGGCUACGUUCUAAGGGGAGGCGCAACGCCUGGCGCUGCGGCUGCUGCCCGCAUUGAACGCUGUGUGCAGCCAGCAGGGCGAUGAGCAGCGGGGGCUGCAGGCGGCCCUGGGCCACCCCGACUGCCCCAAGCGCCGCACGGCGUGAGGGAUGCGCGCCCCGGGAUCUUCAGACCUGGUGGCCCUGGAAGAGUUAAUAGCAAGGCUCAUUUCCUCCUCCCGAAAUCUAUUUUCAUUAGUAACGAGCAACAGUAAAAGCACUCUCUGUUUUUAAGUCAUUAAUGGCUUGAGUUUUAAUACUGGCCGGUAAAUGAUGGUUAUAGUUUGAUGUGCUGUGGUAAGUGUAAAAUGAUUACAAUAUAUUAAUCUGAUGAGCACUGCCCUCACUGCAGCGUUAUUAGUUUGAAUUACGAUGUUCUGCUCAAACCUCCCACGUGCUCAGGCUGGCGGCCCACAGAACACGAUGGAUCUGACAAAUCAGCCCGAGAACACACAGGAUACGUGCAGCCACUAACGGGGAUUGAAGCAGGAGCGCAUGGGCACCUCUUUCCUUUCCCACAACAUAGCGCGUGGUGGACCGAAUCCGUCCAUCAAAGACUUUCAGAUAAUCUUGUAUAUAUAGGGAGAUGAAGAAUAAAUAGCAAACCCCUUUUUUUUUGCCAGUAGUUACCUAUACGUUUAUCUUUACACAGCUUAAAGCCCCUGCAUGUGUUCCACAGGUCCCAUCCCCAGCCUGCCUCCAGCCCUGAUUGCACACUGAGAUAGGGCAGCGCUGGGCUAAAGGCUAAGGAAGAAAUGAAAGAUGUCACAUCGCAUCUGUCUGCCUGGAUCACGAGCUCUAACGGUGAAUCCAUGCACUCAGUGCGUACACCUUUCUGUUUCCAUUGACUGACUUUCCUAAUCUACGCUGCUCUCAGUGUAAGAAUAUUUGUUUGCUAAGAUGGAUAUGCCAAAGGCCAAAAAAUAACGAAAAAAUUAAACAUUUAAUUAACUUGAGCUUAGUUCAAAGGGUAGGAAACUGGCAGCGAUCCAAGGACGCAUUACUUAGGUAAUGUCUUUAAUUUAAUUUGCUUAGCUUUAAUUUUUUUAAGAUCUUGAUAACUGCUCUGUGGUUACUACGUUAUCUUCUAGCUGUGAUAUCUGGUACAGCCCUUGAUUAAGCAUGAUGGUUUCUCUCUAAUGAAGCAGUGGAGCUCAUCCGUUUUCAGCUGGGUGCAUUCGUAGCCAAUCUCUACCCCCGACAACGAUGCUGGCACUUGGCUGUUCCCCCAAAGGGCUUUGGGGAUCACUGUUUAUUUCUGCGGGGUUUUGAAGUCUCCAAAUUAGUGUGCUAAGUGCACUGGGCCCGAGCUCCCGAUCUGCCUUCCAGUUUCCAACCCAUGAAAUUGAUUUAAAUAAAAUGAAUCACAGAAAAGAAUGAUUAAAGGCCAAGGAAAGACAGAAUGGAGAUUAACAAAAAAUUGUUCUCUUAAAGUAAAUAUAAGGGAAAUGGCAGUUUAGCACGAAGUACAAAUGGUAUAUACUGUAAUACCUCCAAGUGAGAUGGCAACCAACCAUGUGUAACGUUUCAAUGGUAUCCAUUUGUAAAAGCCGUUGCAAUCAAAGGUCCCUAAAAUUGUACAAUUGUUAAGUUCAUCAGUGUUCUAUACAUGGGAACAGAUGAUUAUUAAUCUUUGGCAAGAAAUUAUCAAAGGACUUGAAAGACUGUGUUGUCAGCAUGAAUAUGGAAUAUGCAUUUCCAAAAGCUGUUCUGGUCAUUAAUGACUCCGUGUGCUGAACUCUACAGGGUCCUUUCCAAGACCUUCUUGUUCCCUCAGAUACAAAAACAAACUCUGGGUUUUCCCUUUUUUGUUUCUAAACCAGGUUAGUAAAUGGAGUGUGUUAAAUAAAGAUAUAGGUAAAAAGGGCUCCUGAGCCUUUGCAGUUACUGGAGUACACCCAGUAUGAAGGGUAUCCCCUUAACUAAGAGGCUGCCAAUCUGAAAAUCCAAUCCUAACUGGCCUUUGAAGAAGUCUUAGUGCAGACAGAUCACGACUGCAUGGCCUUUAUCGUGCAUCUCACUGCUUGAAAGAUUGAGAUGUCACCGAGGUUAAACCACCCAAAUUUUCCAAAACAAGUAAGUCUUCAGGUGGAAACUGGAAAGGGGGCCUCAGAAGGGGUAAGUCCGAAUUGGUGUAGCCUUCUCUCAGCAGAAUAAUCAUACUCUGUGUUCUGUACACAAACUGAUCCAAAGAAGCUGCCACGUCCUCUGUGUGGCCACAUGCACAGCAGGACCAGAGCGGACUGCAGAGCAUGAGGGCUCUUGUGGAGGCAGCGGCUGCUGUGGCUCUUUGGAUGCUGGCUGUUCAUGCAGUACAAACAGCACCACUGCAGGAACUUUGUCUGCUCUGUGCUCCCGCUCCCCCAGCUCAUCCAACGUGGUCAAAGAACAGAACUGUCAUUUUAGUUUGGAAAACCUCAGGGGAGUUCUCUGUACUUUGACAUGUUUAUUUUAUGAGAGGAGAAGAUUUCUCAGCAUUUUAUGGAAAAAGGGAAAACAGUGUAGGUUGCUGGUUUUCUGUUUUGGAGACUGACAGCCACUAAAGCGGUUUAACCACAUUCAUGCUAACACACACAGGUAAAACAGUGCAAUCUGAAAAACAGCAUGCAGCUUUGUUAAGCAAAUUUCCAUCGCCCAUAAUUAGUGAGCCUGCAGAACCAUGCAGCAUGACAGAAAUACGUUUCCAAUGACUUGACAACACAACAGCAGUGACUUAGUUGUGACCUGCACGUUUUAAGGACCGUUAGCAACCCCCUAAGCUGCCUCACGGUGCCCCGAUGAGGCGGCACCCACCUCCCAUGCCCACAUCCUCUGCUGCACACCGAUGCCGGUAGGGCAGGGGCUGGAAGCUCCAAGCCCCCAUGGCUCUGUGCCACUGCUGGGACACGGGCAGGCCUGGUGUCCCGGGAACCCUUCUCCUCCUCUGGGUGGGAGGAGAGGCCAGGCACACUGCCUGCAAGCAGCACACCGGCCUCAACGGGCCGUUCCACUGAUGGGAAGCCCAUCUAGACAAGCAGAAGCUUGUAUCUGUUAAAUAGGGCUGUUCAAAACACGCCACAUUGGUGCAGCUAAGGCUCAGACAACUGUUUCCAGUCUGCACUGCAACUCCAGCGGCUCUGGGACAGCAGAGUGCAGGGCUGCGGGAAACCUCAGCACCUGCAGCAGUUGUGCCCAGCGCUGGAGGCUACAGGAGCCGUGCACAAAGCAGCCCGUCGUUCCGUCAUCGAAAAAGACGCCAAACCCCAUCGCGUCCCCUCCCGGCACGCGGUACUCACGGCGAUCCCGUGGCUGAAGCCGGAGCCCGGCUGUGGGCUGGCAGCACUUAUGUAGUUGCCGACGCCGGAGUCCUGGCUGGCCGUGCCGUACAGGUCUGCGACGGGCCCAGGGCUGUUGGCCCCAGGGAAGCCUCCGGGCCGGGCUGGGUUGGAGCCUGCCGGGGAAGCGGGUGCGCCAAAAUUCGGUUGAGCACUGUAGCUAUUCAAGACUGGUGUGCAGAGAAUAAAGCUGGGUAUGAGGCCAGACGCCGGGCAUGCACCGUUAUCACAAAGCCAAACACCAGAAUAAACAGCCUAGGCCCAACUUCUAACACUUAACCAAGGCCAUGCGAUAGGAGAGCAAGUACUGAAUAAUAGUCAGCCCGUACUACUACGAAGCUUAGAGCUCCAAAAUAUAUAUAUGAAUAUAUAUAAAAAAAAAAGAACGAUCAUUCAACACACUACUGCAACCAGAGACUGUAGGUGCUCAUUUUUACCAAAUUAUCACAAAAUAUAAUAGAUAUUUUUCAACAUCUGACUUGAUGCUCAUGCAGUAGUAACAAGUUCUCUAGGUCUGGGCACGCCGAGACAGCAUUCACAUCCCAUGCAAACUACAAAGGAACUAGUUUGAGACUACACAUUGUGGUAAUAUUGAUAUUAAAAUGUUGACAGCAAGUAACUUCAAUCGCAUCUAGUAAAAUCAUUUUGGAUCCAUUUGAUACUUUGGAAAAAAACCUGCCCUUUUAAAUUGGUAAGCUGUAGAAACAGCUCAAUAGUUAAUUUGUUUUUUUAAUGGUAUGGAAUGGAACGGUUUGGGUUUGUUUUUUAGGUAUGACCAAGGAGAGUAUUGUUUUAUUUAAUUUGCCUUUCUUUAGAUUUGGAGAUCGAAGACCUACCUUCAUCUCCAAAACCACGUUGGGGGGACAUCAACCAAAAUUAAACAAAUAAAUAAAGAUUCAAAGCAAAAAAAGAAUUCCAGAGGGUGUAUGGCAACUCACCUCCUAAUGUGGAAGUAAAUUUUAUUUUUUUCCUCCCUUCACUUUUUUUUUUUUUUUUUUUUGAGACAGAAAAACAAUGUAAACAAGAAUGAUACUGAAGAACAGAUUUAGAUAUUAAAGCAUGUUAGAUGAUCAGGCUUCUGCCAUUCCUCACUGUUGUUCUUGGAUGUGAAGUUUAUGAGUAAGAGGAUUUAAUGUGAAAGAAAAGUCAGCGGCAGGGAGAGCGGAUGGGGAUGGCGCUGGAAGCGGGAGAGUCCUGCAACACGACCUGCCAACACGGCCCUGCUGACACAGCACUGCCAACGGAGCACUGCCUACAUGCUGCUGCUGACCUGGCACCGCAGCCUGACUGACCACACUCUCGCAGCUCAGCCCUGGACACCAAAACGGCCCUUAAGGAUGCCCUGAAUGCAGGCUCUGACCAGCCACAACAACCACACGGCCACAGCAUCACCACAACCUCCCUGGAGCUGUGCAACGGGCACCGCUGGCAACUCACAUCACCUCUGUGCUCAGCCUGCACCACGACUCCCUCAGCCUCCUCCUCCAACUGCAGCUCCCUGCCUACCUCCGCCGUGCACCUGAAGAGCUUACAGACAGCCUGCAGUAAGCCCUGCCACCAGCCUGCAGGUCAACACAGCAGGGUUUAUUGGGGACAAACAGCACUGCAGGGCAAGUCCCGCCUGCCCCGCAGGAGCGGCCCACAGCAAGGCUCCCGAGAGGCAAACCGGGCUGCAGGCUGACUGCAAACUGCAGCAGCACACAGCAGUGAGAAACUGGGGCAACGCGCCGUGCUGCUGCGGUUCCAUGACCGUCCCCACCGCGCUGACGGCACGCGUUCCUCAACCCAAAGGAUUAACCAGUCAAAAACACGGCAACCGUUGGCUCUGCAAUGACAGGGAAGUAAAUGUUGCAAAGUAAAUGGUUUUAUGUGGCUGUAAAGUGGUAGCAGGGGAAAGUAAGUAGGUCAUCUAAGCCGGCAAGUUAAAAGUAAUAAGGCAUGAGAGAGUAAACAGAUUAUUUUGGAAUUCACUGGCAAACAAAGUACCUUUUUUAUUAUUAAAGAUUAAAUGUCAAGAUA